rnacentral:rRNA from 1 species
GACGAAGGAUGCAAGCGUUAUCCGGAUUCAUUGGGUUUAAAGGGUGCGUAGGUGGCCUUAUAAGUCAGUGGUGAAAUCUCUGGGCUUAACCCAGAAAUUGCCAUUGAUACUGUAGGGCUUGAGUAUAGUUGCCGUUGGCGGAAUAUGACAUGUAGUGGUGAAAUACAUAGAGAUGUCAUAGAACACCGAUUGCGAAGGCAGCUAACGAAACUAUAACUGACACUGAGGCUCGAAAGUGCGGGGAUCAAACAGG